UGNNNNGGGCGANACCUGACCGCCAGUAGCGUGCAGGAUGACGGCCCUAUGGGUUGUAAACUGCUUUUAUAUGGGAAUAAAGUGAGGGACGUGUCCCUUAUUGCAUGUACCAUACGAAUAAGGACCGGCUAAUUCCGUGCCAGCAGCCGCGGUAAUACA
rnacentral:rRNA from 1 species